CCGGGCACAAAGAGCCCUCUGCACUCGCGCCGCAGGACCGCGGACCCGAGCUGGGGGCAACUCCCUGCCCAGCUAUGUGCUCUAGACAUGUCUACGUGGGCACCAUGACCCCGACAGCCUCACAGGACUAACCAAGGUGGCCCUGGGAUAAUGGUCGCCGGCUUCCUGCUGUGAAGUCCGUCUGUGUGGACCCCCUGAAUCUCAGAGAGACGUGGUUGAAAUGUCAUAGAAGUCCUCGCAAGGGCACAGUUCAGUGAUUUAUCGUCAGUUCACCAAGUUGAGCGCUCAGUGCCACCCGUCUGUCGUAGGCUAUUUCCACGGCCUGGUCUGCCUUUUCUGGACAUUUCAUCAAAAUGGAGUCAAGCAGCACGCGGCCCCUCCUGCCUGGCUUCUUUCACUCUGCGUUACAUUUUCGAGGUUCGUAGGAUGUCGCAUCCCUUUGUUCCUUUUGAAUGCAUUUGGCAGGCUCCUGGGACAGAGGCGAGAGAAAGGGGAUUUCCGAAUUCUUCCUGAACAUUCGUGACCACCCUGGGAGGCAACCUGACAGAUAAGUAUUCCGACUCACCAGCCUGUGGCCCAACCCCCUGCCUUGUCUAAGUCUGUGCAGGAAAGCACAGAGCCUCACAGUCCUCACGUGGGAGGGGAACUUGGUGAUGCUACUUUCCAAUCUCUCUGUGUCACAAGCAAAGACCUUGUCCACAUUUUAUAGGGCCCCAGACAGGGGUGAUCUUCACACCCCGCUUUUUGUCACGGAGGCUAGCAUUUUAUCAGUGUCACCAUCAGGAACUUCUGUAGGCUUGAGUUUAGUGACCUCCCCUUGAGUCCCUGGCUAUCUGGCAUCAGAGGAGUCAGAAGAAGACUGGGGACUCCGGGCAGCUCGUGGCUUCUCGCUUCUGGCCCUUUGUCGUCAUUAUUUGUGAAACUUGUCCAGGGCCCCCUUUACCUGGCAGUUGGGCGGGGAUGCCAACAGUGUGACCAUGGGCCACAUUGUUUUCUCCAGGUCUAGACCUGUGCCCCGAGCCUCAGGUGCCAAUAGAGAGUGCUGGACACACACCGAGCAGUCCCCCGACUCUGGGCACGGUCUGCCGGCUGGUGAAGAUAGCUUAGCUGUCACAGUAGCAAACCCCAGGAUGUGAUUCUGGGUCAGGGUUAGCAGGCAGAUGGGGACAGAUAAAUAACUGAGGCUGAGCCGUAGGCCCUCACCCCAACUUCCCGUCCACCGCCUCAGACUGUGGGUUAGUACUGUGCAUUCUGGGUAAACACAGGAAUGGAAGGAUCCCAGGGCUCAGAGAGGGAGAGAAAGAGAGAGACAGAAAGAGAGAGAAGGGCAGGCUUCCCUGGGCUACACAAGAUGGCAGAACUGAAUCCAAGCUCUAGAUUCCCAACUCCGCUCCCUGUUUCCACUCAGUUGUGGCCAAGCUGAACUUGUCUUACUUUGUCCUGGGUCCCCUUCUGCUCUUGUCGGGGAAUAGGGAGGUGGGCGAGGGAGCCCCCCCUUAUCUCGAGGACCCUCUGGGGUGGGACUAAGGGAGGCGGAAGGCAGAUGUGCCUGGGCCAGCCUCCCUGGCUCUGGGGCCUUCUAGCUAGCAGAGACUUCUGGCCGGUUCGGGCAUGGGGAGGGGGCCUGGGUGCAGUCUCCUCCUGCAGCGUGGUGGGCUCUUUUGUCUUCCAGGAUGGGAUCCACAUGAAGGAGGAGCCAGGAGCUGGGUCUGGGCUGCCGACAUGCCAUCUGGGUGCAGCCGGGUGGCUCCGCCCAGCCCCGGCUCCAGGACUCCUGCCUGGUCUUCCCUUUGGAGCCCCGGUGACGCUAGACUCCAGCCACGGUGACACAGGAAGCAGCCUUUGGUGGUUUUCUCGAACUCUGGACAAUUCCCCAAAGACAUCCUCCUUCCCAGCUGCUAACAUAGAGGCUCCUGUGGAUGAAGGCCCCUCCUGGCUGGCGCUCGGCUGAGGACAGGCCCUAGCUCUGGAGGACAGCCCGAGGGAGGCGUGAGAGGGAGCCCGGCAGCCCACAGCCCCUCUGUGUCCACCUGGACCCCGCCUUUGGGCCUUGCCGUCUGGGCCUGGAGGCCGCUUCUCGCCCCCGCGCCAACUUGG